CCCGCUGGUGCCGCCCCCAGUAUGGCGACACGGUAGAGGAGCGGCUGCGCUAGGGUGACCGCCCCCUCCCGCCUCCCUCGGCACAGGCACGGCGCGCCGCGGGCGAGCGAGCGGCCUCGGCGGCGCUGCUGCCGCCGUUGCCCCCCACACAGCUCAGCAGCAGUGAAGGAGGAUGGCGGCGGCGGCGGGCACAGCGGCAGCAGGCACAACAGCAGCAGCGGCGGCGGGGCCGAGUGGCCGCACGGCGGGAGCCAGCACCGUCCCGAGCAGCUCAUGGUGGCGCCCCAGACCCGCGAGCAGCGGCCGCGCCGGGGCCGCCAGCUGAGUCGGAUCUCGGCAGGCGGCUCUCCCCUCUCGACACCGACCCACCGAGCGACCUGUUUCCCUCCCUCGGCGCACCCUCUUCUCUCUCCCCGGCGCGACCCGCGCCUCGGAUCGCCCCCGCUUUGGCCGGACUCCCGCCACCCUCGGGCGCCGCGGGGAAGGCGGCGGCGAAGGGCACCGGGCAGCGCCAGGCGGCAGCGGGACCAUGGGUGCGAAGCAGAGCAGCCCCACCGCCGCCAAUGGCCGCACCCGGGCGUACUCGGGCGGGGAUUUACCUUCCUCCAGCAGCAGCAGCAGCGGCGGCGCUAACGGGACUGGCGGGCGCUCGGCAGGCGCUGGCGGGCGGUACGCGCACCUGGCGGCGGCGCCUCAUGCCGCUCCCGGCGGCGCGACGGCCACAGGAGGAGCGGCGGCGGCGGCGGCGAGUGCCGCGGGGUCGGCACCCCGGAGCAGGUCCUUAGGGGGUGCGGGCGCCUCAGGGGCCCGGGCCGCGCAGUCCGCCUUCAACAUCCCACACAGCAGCGGCCCUUACGGCUCGCAGGACUCGGUGAACAGCACCCCGGAGGAGGGCGGCCGGGAGCGGCCCACGGGGGGCGACGGCGGCUCCUCCGGCGGGCCCCGGCUAGUGAUCGGCUCGCUGCCCGCUCACCUCUCGCCGCACCUGUUCGGAGGAUUCAAGUGCCCUGUAUGUUCAAAAUUUGUAUCUUCUGAUGAAAUGGAUUUACAUCUUGUGAUGUGUUUGACAAAGCCAAGGAUAACCUACAAUGGUAAGAAAGAAAGGAUGUGCUGGGUAAAGAUGCUGGGGAGUGUGCAAUAUGCCUGGAAGAGCUGCAGCAAGGAGAUACUAUAGCACGGCUGCCUUGCCUCUGCAUAUACCAUAAAGGCUGCAUAGAUGAAUGGUUUGAAGUAAAUAGAUCUUGCCCUGAGCAUCCAUCAGAUUAAGACAAGAUUCAUGUUUUUAGUUUGUGAAUUUGCUACUGUGUCUCAGAACUGCAAUAUUAAUCACUGCUUCCACUGAUCAGAAAACAUUGGAGAUUUGAGGUUCCCGUGCUGAACACAGCGUGCCUGGCUUGAGACUUACUGUUCUUUGUGGCUGAAAAAGGCAAAGAUGGACAGUGACACGGAAAAAGCGUUGCAGACACCGGUCACUUGCCAGCAGCGCUCGGUAUACCAAACACUCACGCAAAGAACACACAGGGAUCUUGAAAAUGCUGCACAUUCUGUAACAAUCGACUCCCCACAGACAUUACUGACACUAUUUUGUACCGAAGGCCAAAGUUCCUAAUUUCAGCCUAACUUGUGGUUCUGUGAAGAAGCGGGUUAUUGGACAGGUUUCCUGCUGCCUUGAGCGAAAGCGGAGACGUUCGAUACGUGCUAUCUGAGACCCUUGCAGGAGGAUGACCCUGGUUCGGAGCGGGGAACGUUUUCACCUUCUUGUUGGCUGAAGAAGAGUAAAUGGCAAACUAAAUAUAAUCUAACAGUGUGACCUUAAUUUACUGAAUUCACACCCUGUUUUACGUUCUUCACUUUUUUCAAGAACAGAAAACAUAAACUCCUCUGCAUAGGAAUACUGUAUUUCAAAAUUUUGUAACUAAAUCUUUGUCACAAUGCAGUCCAAAGAGUAAAACCAGGACAGGUAACUAAUUUAUAUUGAUGAAGCUAUAGGGAUUGUUGAAAUCUGCACAUUGUGUCGCUAUUUAAGUAACUAAAACUUCUCUUUUACUGCUCGUGAGUAAAAACAACAACAAAAAUGCAGCAAAGCAAAAUCUUACAGCUAUGCAACUUUUUUUUAAAUAGGAAAAAAAAAGAAGAAUUACCAAUUUUAAGUGCUGCCAGUUAAGGUAAUUUGUUUAACGGGUAUUUUUUUAAAAAUGUUUCAGGUAAUUAUUUUGUUGUACUAUUCUCAUCUCCAGGCUGCCUCCUGAGGUGUAAACGAAUAGCUGCAAAUGUGGGCACAGCAAGAGGUUUUUAUAGGCAUGGGUUGAGAUAACAUCGAGGUAGGAUUUGUGUUUCAUUUUUAAAACACGUGUAAGUUUGUGUUUCCUUGUUUGGAUUAUUUUUUUUUAGGUGGCAGGAUCUGUAAUACUUUGCAUCUAAAUCCUUGGUCUCUUCAUGUGGAGACCGGCAUUCGACGGUGGUUUUUGGUGCUUGUUGGUUUUGGUUGGUGGGGUUUUAAAAAUUUCUUUAAAUGCACCUGCAUUUGUUUAAUUUAUCAUUAUUUUGCUGUAUUAUAUUGAUAUAACCAGGGCUCCACGAACAAGGGAUGUCUCUGGUGGGGUACACCAGGUAAAACUGUGGAUAACUAUUAGUUCCCAUAAAAUAUCACAGUUUUAAAAAAACAAAGACGGGGGGCAGUGGGGGGAAAGCCAAACUGGAACAGAUAUCAGGGCUGAGAAGCAUACUUUUGCAUCAAGAAUUAAUCAUAGUAGUUUCUGCAUUUCACAGCACAGGGAAGAGUUUAUAAAUAUUUAUUACCAAUAGCAUUUUUAGUGAGUUUCAAUAGUUAAAAUAAAUUGCACAACACUUUGAACAUUUUUUUCUUGUAUAUCCGUAAUUCUGCUUUUUUAAAGUACAUAAUUCUCUCUGUUGCUACUGUGAUUCAUAUCAAAAAGGGCACAGAACAGGAGCAACUGCUGCUAUCUGGAGAACAAGUGUGGUGCAUGUUACUAAGCUCUUCUCCCUUGCUUGCAGAACAAUUCUUGCAAUUCUUUUUCUCCUGAAUGUUGCUCUGUAAAAUGCCUUUGUUAUGCUGCAAAUCUGAAAGAGUCCAAAGUAGGUAAUUGUCAUGAUCGCUCGUGCAGUUUCCACAUUUUUGGGCUUGCAUCACCGGUUUCAGCUGAAUCUGUAAGUGUGGGGCCCUGUUGUAUUCUCUUUUUCAGUGGGAGCAGAAUCAUUUUGUCACACUUCCAAUUCUGUAGUCACAUCAAAUGUACAGUCGUUCCCUGUACAGAUUCCUUUUUAGCUGAGAAUAUUUGUGUUGCCUUGUAUUAUCUUGGGGGGGAGGGAGGGAAUGAGGAAUUACAGCACCUGCAAUACCCCGACAGUGGUGUUGCCUGCAGGCCCACGUUCCCAAGGUUUUAAAUUCCUGCUGUCUUCUAAAAGUAAAGCUUUUUUCAUUUGCAUUGAUUUAAAGUUUACUGUUGGCUUCAUGCCUACAGAAACUCACCUGUAAUAAUGUAAAGGGAGUAGGUAAGUGUUUUGGUGUCCUGUGCUCCGAGGUCAUAGAUAGCCUUUGGCUUGGGAAUUAAGUAGGUGAAUAUUGUAAACAUAAAUCUCUUUACAACUUAAGCUCAGUUUUGGUCGUUCAUAUUUCUAGUUUGGUUACUUUUUUGGGUUUUUUUGUUUUGUGUUUUUUUUUUUUUUAAAAAAAAACCUUAAUUUUCUGUAUUCAGAUGCAAGUAGCUGGUUUGAAGACCCAGCAGUUAUCCCUGCCAUCCUGCACUUAGGCCCAGUGUCUGAAAAGCAACCCGCUAGUGAUCACACUGGUGUGUGGUUUUGCAGGCAAGAGUGUGUUGCUGCUUCCAUGAGCACAGUAGAGCAGCAAUACCCUGGAUUAUUUGAAGAACUGAUACGAGGUCAGCCUUAGAUCCUAGUUUGGCAUUCUUGGUGUCCAUAAAUCUCUUCUGAAAGGCUACAGGAGGUUUUCUGGUAUCAGAACCUGUAAUAUAGGCCAAGCCUAGAAUGACCCUGGAAGCAUGAAAGUGAUGCUUGGGUUUGCAAACACCUGUGGAGACUCACCUGUGUCAGCUUUCUGUCGCCAGCUAUGUUGGUCAGCUGGCGAUGACCAUGCUGUAGAUGUAGUUCUAGUCAUAGGCAACACCUUUGUUUCAAGAAUGUUCUCACAGAGGUCCUGAGUCAUUGUGCUUCAGAAGGGGAAAAUAAACACCAAACAAGUCCUGUGUCUUGAUCAAGGAACACCACGCUCGUCCACAAGAAGCAAUAACUUAAAUUGCGGUGCGAUAUGCUUCUUUGUCUGUAAAUAUCUUGAGAUUGCCAAUUCUGUGCUGUUUCAGAGUAUUUUCUGUCAUCUGGCCUAUGUCUUCCCUAAGUAUGUAAGAGUGUGAAAUAAUUCCCAUACUCAGGUCUGCCAUAAACAUGCUGCUUGCCAGAGGGGAAGAGUAGACUCAACACUGUCUUGAAAUGUGGGAUUUUCUGAAUUUGUAACGUAUCCGCGUAUUUUGAGUAGUAACUUGAGUUUCGAAGUUUGUAGUGGAGGUAGCUAUGAGUUGGAUUGUAUAUAGCCCUACUGCAUCCAAUACCAAGAGAAACACGCUACUGUCAGCACAGGGCACCCAUUGUCCUGUCUCUUAUAAAGCAGCAUAUAUAAAAUAACACUUGCCUUUUGAAGGAGGUAGCUAAUUUUCAUUCAAUGUGUACAUUCAGUGGUGAGUUCAGUGAGACAUAAAAGCAAAAAUACAGAGCACGCUGCAGAUUUGUGGUAUUUUAGUUUGGGGAAGAAUAAAGCAGAAAACAGACCGUCUUAUUAGUAAUUAAUUUUACUUUCAUAUUCAAGGGUAAGUGUACCGCAGUAUUUUGAAAUGGAACAUGUAGGUAAUGUACAAAGAUAUGGGUGUAUACUUGUGACCUUUUUUCUCCCCUACUCCUCACUCUUUAUGAUGCAAAGGAGGUUUUUUGACUUAAUCUUGAGAUUUAUACAUUUAUCCUACUUCUUAAUGCUAGGAGCACUGACUUCUUAGUUAAGUGUUUGCUGAAAGUCUGGAGAGCUGGUAAAACUGACUCCCAGAAGACUAAAAUCUCAGCACAUGUGGGAAAGAUAAUUUUUAUGCAGAAAUGUGGGUCCUCGGUGUUUCUGGUUGGAUAAUGUCUAAUACGUAAGAUGUGCUUAUGGAUGCUUUUAGUAUGUCGCCUUUUCCAUGUGAGGGCUUCAGAAACUUGCUGCGUUUCUCCCGCGUCCCACCAAAAGCAGGGAACGUGGCACCUGAAUGUCACCGCUAUCUGUACGUAAACAGCAACAAAGCACACAUUGCUUUUGAAGUAGGCCAUGAUCUCUCUGAGUUUCUGUGAAUCUUAGCUGCUUUUCCAUAUUGAAAGAGAAUAUUUGUGUGCAAAUCCGGUAUUGCUUUUUUGUACCUGAUUUUGCUGUACAGUUGGGAGUCUCCUGCCGAGAGACGACCUGAUACUUGGGAAUGAAGAAGUGCUACUAUGAAUCUUCCAGCUCAUCUUUGCCAGAGGAGGAUUAUCUCAUUAGGCCAUAUCCCCUUAAUUUUUUAACAUUUGGACGGGCUUUCCAUUGGCAUCGGCAAAAGUAACGUCAGAGGUUGUAGCUGAAAGAGGGGAUUUUGUUAGGGGUUUGCUUCAACCCAGCCAAAACCGCUUUUUCCUGCAGCGGUGUCAUCAGCUUGUACCACUUCUUGUUGUUCCAAAUACUCUUAAUAUGAGAAAUUAGUUAUAGAACCGUGUCCAGAUUUUGUCUUCUAAAUGUAAAACUUCUGUGAUGUUUCUCCAUAUAAAUUAACCUGCUUCUGAAGUCAGGUUGAAGGUGUUUUAGCCCUUAAGGGGAAAAAAGAAAAAGAUAAUCCUUUCUCUCAAGUUGUCUCAAGUUGCAUUUGUUUAUCUGACUGGGCAGCUCAGCUGGCUUCCCACGCUGCUGCAUCGUGUUCUGUAAAGUCAUUUCUCAAUUAAGUACAUCAGAGCUGAUGACGGGAUAAACCAUAAAAUGACCUGACUGUGGGGCAUUAUUAGUUGCUGUAGAUUUGCUCAGGUAAACAACCGCAGGAAUAGCCGGCACCUGAAAAAGGCUGGAUUUGGCUCUGUCUUGGAUCUAAGAAGGUGCUGGUGCACAAGAAGCAGAGGGCAGCGAGCCCGCUAGCUGAUCCUUCUGGCAGCUUUUAAUCUCUGUAUGUUUGUUUGAGAGACUUUUGCCCUUGGGUGUGCUUUGGCAAAGAUUUUGCAACGAUAAGUAGGAUUUGCUUGAUUCUGGCAGAGUUUCAAGUCUAAGUAACCCAACGUUGCAAGAAUCUAAUCUGUUGCUGAAGCCUGUUCCUCCUGUUUUCCCUCAAGUCUAUCCCUUUCAUUGCUAAUUUGUUACAUUUAAUAGUAAACACUUCUCAACACGCCUGGUCACAAGCUCUCAAGGUGUGAAAUGCUAACCGGAGACAUCAAAGGGUGAUUCUGUGCUCUUCCUGUAUAUAUUAAGAUGAAGCUGAAGUAUUUGUUAUCGUACAGUCAAGAAUUCUCUCUCCUAACUGAUAUUGCCAAAGCACUAUAACUUUCAAGGAAGAAGGGAGGUGGCUUAGCUGUAGAGGGGAUGUUUUAAUAAACUACUUGAUUUUAAAAGCUGCAGCAUCAGUGCUGAAUGAGUGGUGAUCCGGAAUUAACCUCAUCACUUGAUUGCAAAUCUCAUUCUGGCUCUUCCUGCCCUUUGGCAGGUACCCGCUGGUAGGGAGCAGAGUGGAUAUUCCCCCUUUUUAUUGGAUGCCUCUGCCCACAGAGCUAACCCUGCCCACAAGGAGUUAGAGGGAACUCCAUGCUAGCUUCUGAAAUGCCACCCAUAUGCGCAGUGGUAAUGGACAAGACGUCUUCCUUCAUUACCCAGAGCAGAAAUCAGAAUGUAAUUUGCAAUGUCUAAUGUAAAACAUGUUUGUAUUUUUUUUUAAUUGAGCGGUAUGAUUGCAAGUUGACUUAAGUUGUCCUAAGGUACUCUUUUCAGUGGUUUGCCAGUACAUAGUCAUGAAUGAAAAUAUUUUUUUAUUGAUUUUUAGGUUGUAUGUUUAACAUUCCAUUCAUGUAAAAUAUGUACAAAUAUAUGUAAUAAAUCUUUUGAAGCACA